ensembl:lncRNA
CUCGCGACGACACCAUUCACUCUCUCAGUCUCACUCACACUCUCCUGUAAUUUUCGGGAGGAGAUUUGGAAGAUUCUCGCUGUCUUCGUAGUCAAGGCUAAGUCAAGUUACAGCACUUCCAGAAGAUAUUGUUUUCCCCCUGAGGACGCUCUUGGAGGUUGCUGCAAUGGAGCAGAAAUUGGCAGACCCCACCUUCCACAAAACAAGUGGUUGGCGUGGUGGCAGAAAUUGGAGGAAGAACAUUGGAUGAAGUCACCAGAAGAAUGAUGGCCUUCCUUUUAGACCACUCCCUAUCAAGAGAGUACAAUUUUGUUGGCUGCCAUGGAAAGCAAGAGUUUCGGGGCUCAAACUGUUUGAGUUUGUAUAUGGAAGCUUGAAAAAAAAUGCCCUUACAAACCAGAUUACUAGAAGAGAUGCUGAAAAGGCAGUGUCAAAGUGGCUAAUUGGUGCCAGGGACAGGGCAUGAAACCGUACAGCGAGGGCACGUGGUGGAGAGCAAGAUGGGGCCGUUGGGAGAGCGACAACAGAGGACUGAGAUUCUGCACUUUUGUUUUUGUAUGUGAAAUAAAGAGUUUUCUGACAGAGGACUGUAAAACUACACUUUUGUUUUGUUUGUGAAAUAUAAAGUUUGUCAAAAGCUUUCACUUUUGAUACUUGUCUGU